rnacentral:rRNA from 1 species
UACGAAGGGUGCAAGCGUUACUCGGAAUUACUGGGCGUAAAGCGUGCGUAGGUGGUUCGUUAAGUCUGAUGUGAAAGCCCUGGGCUCAACCUGGGAAUGGCAUUGGAAACUGGCGAUCUAGAGUGCGGUAGAGGGUAGUGGAAUUCCCGGUGUAGCAGUGAAAUGCGUAGAGAUCGGGAGGAACAUCUGUGGCGAAGGCGGCAUCCUGGACCAAUACUGACACUGAGGAGCGAAAGCCAGGGGAGCAAACGGG